AUUGAACGCUGGCGGCAGGCCUAACACAUGCAAGUCGAACGAGUGGCGGAAGGGGGAGUAAUGUCUGGGAAACUGCCUGAUGGAGGGGGAUAACUACUGGAAACGGUAGCUAAUACCGCAUAACAUCAGAUAUGCCAGGAUGGGUUUAGCUAGUUGGUGGGGUAACGGCCUACAAAGGCGACGAUCCCUAGCGGGUCGGAGAGGAUGACCAGUCACACUGUAACUGAGACACGGUCCAGACGCCUACGUGAGGCAGCAGUGGGGAAUAUUGCACAAUGGGCGCAAGCCUGAUGCAGCCAUGUCGCGUGUAUGAUGAAGGCCUUCGGGUUGUAAAGUACUUUCAGCUGUGAGGCGUUACCCGCAGAAGAAGCACCGGCUAACUCCGUGCCAGCAGCCGCGGUAAUAC
rnacentral:rRNA from 1 species